GCCGCCGUAGCACAACGGUAGUGCACCGUAUUUGUAAUGCGGGGGUUGUCGGUUCAAAUCCGACCGGCGGCU
rnacentral:tRNA from 1 species